CCGAGAGACCUUAAACUGCGGAGAAGACGCGCUGCUGCAAGAGGCCGUAGACGUCUCAGGCCUGGAGCAUUGAGAUUCUCAAGUCAAAUUCGCUUCUGCACUGCCGAGAUGGUUAAAAUCCUCGGGUUUUGCUUCGAGAGUCAAGCGCAGACUCGCUCUACUUCCACCUCAUUCAUGCGACUGCGUGCAUUUAUCAAUGACUCACACUAGCCAGUGAGUGCGCGAGCCCCUGACGUUGUUAUAUAACCUCUCUUCUCUCGCCGUCGAUUUUCACACGACUCGAUCUAGAUAUCCAGUCGAAUUUCGGUCGCAGACGUGUCACGCAAGCAAAACGCCUCGUAGCUUAAUUUCCCUUCGAUAUCUAUCCCGGAGAAAGCAACGCUGCGUCCUCCGCUGCUCUAGUCCUAGAUGCUUGCUCUGUCACUGCGAGCUACUGAAUGGAUACAAGCGCCAGGCGUUUCAAUGGAUACAUUAUGUCGGCCAGCCAAUCAGGAGGCGCCGAGCAAGCGUCGCCGUGGAAACGGGGCCGGAUGGAACGGACUAUGUUGAUGAAUUGUUAAUAAGUUUGUCAUUCACAAAAACGGAAAGGAAUUUCCGCCCCGGAUCAGCGGAGUGCAAACAAACAGUAGAGAGGCACCGCACGGGAAGGAAGGAGGAGUGCGCGUGUAUUUGACACAUGCAGGUCAUCCGGCUCCGGCAGCAUGCCUACAAACUGAUAACAACUCAGUUCUUCCUGCUAUUAUCACAGUGCCGAUGAUAUCUUGUGUGUCAGAAGCAAACACAGCAUAAAACAGCUCUGUGCUGAACAUCCAAAAGUCCUGAACUUUGCAGGUAUUUUCAUUUAGCCAAAUGCGUAUUACAGUACAUUUGCAGUCAUGUAUGAAUUUCAUUGUUUGUAUUCAAAAACAUUCAAAUACAUAGGGAGGGAUAUUUUUUAGAAUAGCGUGUAUAUAGACUUGUGGUUCAGUGGAAAGAAGUGACAGCUCUUUGUUCCCCCCUUCCUAAGUUCCUGGGUGGGACUGGAUGUUUUGUAAGUUUCUGCCGCUCACCAGGCCCACUAGACAGUGAGGUUUGAGACAAUGCCGGCUCCGCUUUUAUCUGCGGCUCCAUCGGGCCGGGUCUAUGUCCUGCAUCAGGGUCUCUGCUGACCCCCCACUAUCACUGACAGCAGCUCACAUGCUCUUGGGAUGAAAGGUCAAUCUGAUUGUGUUGUGAAUCACUGAGGUUUCUCUUUUCUUAAACUAACUGCUGCCCUCACCUCCCCCUUCACCUAUGAUACUGUGUGACUUCCUGCUCCCAUGAUCUUUACUUCCUAUCUCACUGUUGUAGCUCUUUGUAUGCUGAUUUCUGCUGGGGGGUUGGUGCACUUUCACAAACAGCAGAAAUGUUAAUGAUGUGUGUAAAUAAAGCUGUUUGAGAAGUUAAAAGCAUGUGACAAAAGUCAUUAAAGUGAUUAUUUCUAUAUUCAGUAAAACAACGGCUGAGGUAAAGUGGUUGUUCU
ensembl:lncRNA